rnacentral:lncRNA from 13 species
UGUGAUGUAGGCACUCUUAUCCCUAUUUACAGAGAUUGGCACUGGAGAGAGAUAAAUCCCACAGUCACCAGAGUGAGGAGGAGCCAGGAUUUGAACUGAGUUCCAUCCAAAACCCAUACUCUUUGUAAUCUACACGUUGCUGUUCAGCCAAUGGCCUCUCUGGACUGAUGUUACCAAAAUGGCAUGUGACUACAAACUCAGCAACCACAAGGGCAGAAACUGCCUGAGGGAUGCGUGGGGCCACCUGUUGCUGAUGUUUUUCUUUGGGAUCUAUGGUUGCAGUAUUCAAAGUGUGAGCUGAGAGUUGUUCUUUUCUAGUAUUCAUAUUUCCAACAUGAUAAGAUGAGGACAUUGAGAUCCAGAAUGAAUUGAUUAGCUUGUCUAAAUGAGUCUAAACAUCUGCUCAGUGCCGUGUUAUAGGUCAGCUCAGCCCUCAGCUCAUUUGUUCAGCUCCAUGAACCGACAGACACUACAAGCGUCUGCACCUGCAAUGCCACUAGAUGCCCCUGCCGUCCACACCUCUCCAAGACACGUAGACACGAGACAAGAAGGCUGGCUAUCAUCACUCCUAUUCUACAUUGUACUGGAGUCCUUCUAGCACAAAAAGCAACAUACAUAAAUACAAGGAAAUACAAGUUUGGGGACUAAAGUAUGCAAAAGAAAUGCGUUCUGUGUCCUGUUCUGUGUCAGGGAUGGAAAAUGGUGACACUUCUCGUUCUGCCACAAAUGUGUUGAUGCUGUUUGAGUGUGACAAUGAAGCAGAAACACCAUAUUCAGUUUCCUUUUGGAAAUGUCAACGAGAAUUCGUCUAGCUUCCAAGUUGCAUUGCAAGCUGAGAACUCCUUUCCCCAAAUGUGUCCAGAAAGAGUUUUUGUUUCUUGCCCAUAACAUGCCAAGUGAAUUGAUUUUCUAAGAUUCUGUAAUAUAAUGUUGACUCUUAAUUUUGGUUUAAUCAUUUUAGUUAUGUAUCAGCUCAAAAGCCAAAUUAACUAUGUUCUUAUUUUAGUUGUGAAAACAAAUUCCAGCACAAGCAGCCAUCCAGGAAUGUCUUUGCCACCUUGUCUGUUGGCACAAAUUCUUCCUGAGAUGAUUUGGGGAAGGUGCUCUGUGAUUUCAG